rnacentral:tRNA from 1 species
GCGCCUGUACCCCAGCUGGCUAGAGGGGUGCGGUUUAGGUCCGCAUUGUCGUGGGUUCGAGUCCCACCGGGCGCA